CGAAUUGCAAAACUAGAAAUCAAACGAUUAGAUUACAUGGUUCAUCGAUCUCUUAAUACAAGAAUAUUUAGCCUAACAUGGAGAAAAUAAAAGAAUACAUGAUUUCUUGAAGAUAAAACAUCACCGAGUUAUGAAUUCGCGUGAAAUAUCAAUGAUUUUUGUGAAAUCCUUCAUUACUCUUGCUCAAAAUUUUCUCCAAGAUGUGUUACAUUGCCUCCCAAUGCAUUUUGUCCUGAAAUAUGAUGAGUCCAGGUUUUUAUAUCACGUUCAAAUCUAGUUCCAAAAGAGUUUUAACGAAAACACGAAACUGUAGAAACGGCCCCUAGAAAAGCACUAUGCGACCGCAUAGGUAUACCCUAUACGACCGCAUAGAAGUAAAAAUUUUGACACUUUAAGUUUCAGUCAUCAUGUAUCCGACCGCAUUGAAGUAAUAUUCAAGGUCGCAUAGAAGCCUUUUUCCAAAGAUAUUCAUUUUGGUCCUCAAACUUUCUUUUCUUCCCUUUUGACCUCAUUUCUUCAUUCUUCUCAUUUUAUCAACCAAUAUUAACCUCCUAAUGUACUUGGCUCGAUCAAAUCCUCGAUUUCUCCCUCGGUUUCAUCUUUUGUUUAAUUGCAUUUUAGUCCCUAGACUUUCAUUUUUCUUCGUUCUUGUCCUUUUUCUUGUCUUUCUUCCUCUGAUCAUCCCGCAUUAACCCCAAGUUGAUACUUAGCUUGUUUGCAUUCUCGAUUCUCCUUUUAGUUCAAAUUUUGGUAUUUGCGCUUCGAUCCUUGAACUUUCACUUUGCUUCGUUUUGGCCCAACUUUCGAUUUAUUUCUCGUGGAUUCCAUCAUGUCGAUCAAUAUAGCCUACGACAUACAAAUCAAAUGAAAUUAAGCUACAAUUCAAACAAUUUACCUGUAAUUUAGUCAUGUUUGUGAGUUAAAUAAGUGGACAAAAAUGCACUUAUCAGGAAACAUAAUGAAGAAGAUACAAUCAUGGAUGCUUGACCGAUUGUGACGUUGGGAAAUACAAUCUGGAAACGAACUAGACGCAACUUCAAGAUCCUCAUUUUGGCUAAGAUAGCUAGGUGGAUAACAUUCCAUGAUGAGCAGGCCCGUCUCUAGAUCAAACCUAAUGACACAAAAUGCAACGAUCCAUUUUUGUAAAGAUCUUUCAUUGAUUUUUAAGUUAGCAUUUGAUUUCACAGAAAAUGUAGGAGAUCGGUGCAUUCUCAACUAGCCCAAAACCACCUGUCUUCCAUCAAAUGAACUCCAUUUUCAUCAUUGUCAUACUAAAGAUAUAGUAGCAUAUGUAUCAACAACUAAAAAUUGCAAAGUCGUUUAACCAAUUAAAACCCGAGUCACGAAAGGAGAAAAGUUCCCAAAGGAAACAAUUGGCAAAAAUAAUCAAAAUGCAAUAAGAUGCAUAGCCUUCUCAAGAGAAGAGUAUUGAAUUUAAUUGUAAUCAUGUUAAGAACAAGAAUCACAGAAUAAUAAAUUGAUAAAUCAAAUUCAUACCUGCAAAAGGUAUCGUUGAUAUGAAUAAUAGCAGUUAGAUCUUCCUCUGCUUGCUCCUCACAAAGUAUUAGCAAUCAAUGGGGUAAGCUAAUAAAACAAC
rnacentral:lncRNA from 1 species